UGGAUAAUUUAGGGCAUCAUGACUGCAGGAGAGUGAGGAAGCAGAAAGGACUAGAUGGAAACAGACUCAUGUGAUUUCAAGGGUAUGACUGUGAGUUGCAAGGACUCCUUGAACACCUGAGAUGAAGAAACAUGCCCGAUAGCACAAAGGAAUCCAUCAGAAGCUGAGAGCAAGUGGGAAGUGAUUAAAGAAACCGUGUUACAAAGUUGAACUGCUUCACCUGUGAAGAAUUCACGCUUAGAAAAAUAGCCAGAAUACUAAUUAUCACCAAUUUCUGAGGAAGAUUGUCUGCAAAAUAACCGAAGAGGACUUUGCCUUCAUUAACACAUUAUUUCCUCAAGUUUCCUGUAGUUCUGUAACACACGCAGGAAUGUUUUAAAGGGCAGGCCUGUUUUCUCAUCAUUAUGGGACUACAGCAAUAAAGGGCCUUGAUUUGGAAUCUGCAGAAUUAGUACCAUGGAAGUCUGGCAUAAUUGGAAGGAAAUGAAGAUCUGAGAACCAAGAGGAUCUAGGCUAGCAUUCUGCAUCCUUGAGACUUACUAGUUUUGGGUCUGUGGAUGUUUACCUUGCCUAAGCCACACUUUUCUCAUCUGUAAACAGAAGAACUAGAUCUCAGUGCUGUCUUUCCCCCACUCCCUCCAUGUCAGUGAUGGGAGCCUGCUGCUCAGUCCUCCCCUUAAGAGAAAAGCUACCAUGAGGCGGUCAGCCUCUAGCUUCUGCCCCUUUGGGAUCUGCUGUAGUUUUCAUGCCAAUGCCCUGCUCCCCCAGCUGCUCCCAGUGAUGACUGAGCACAGUGAGGAUACCAGAGCUGGAAUGUUUUUGCUCAAUACAGCCUCAUCUAAUGAGUGGUCUUUGCUGUAGGGUACUGUUUUGGCCUGAAUGAGACUUUCCCAGAGCGGCAAUGUGGUCUCUUUCUAACCAAUCUUUUUUCCUUCUCUCCCUCCUUUCACGGAUGUCACACCUGUAUUGUAGUGUGAAAGCUCUCCACACCUGCUAACUCCCUCUCCCCGUCAUCCUUCACAGACAUUUCUCUAGUACAUCUCCUGCUUGACUGAUUCCUUCAUAGUGUUUGCUUCCUAAAGGACCUGGACAGUCACACCCACAUAUGGAAAAGUGCAUACUUCACUAGUGUACAAAUCAAUGAACUUUCACAAGCUGAAUAUACCCAUGUAAGCAGCACACAGAUCAAGAGAAAAACAUUACCAGUGCCAGAGAAAUCCCCUUGUAUCCCCUGACAGACUCUACUUCCACCCAAGGGUAACCACCAUCCUGACUUUUAACAGCAUAAUCUUGAUACUAAAACCAAAGAAAGAUAUUACAAGAAAGGAAAACUAGAGGCCACUGCCUCUCAUGAAAAUAAGUGCAAAAUCCGAAACAAAUAUGAGCAAACUGAAUGCAGCAAUAUCUCCACUUAUAGCCAAUAACAUAUCUGGAAACUUGGCAUCUUUUGAAACUCGUCUUCCAUUGUAAGUAAAACUUGAAAACUUUGUCAUGAACUUCAAGCACUUUCUCACCAAGGAUCAUUUCUUCCGUUCCUGACUUUUCCAUGCCACUCAGCUGGAAAUUUGGUUACUAGGUAUCCAUGAUUUUUCUGAUAGCUUCUUGACUUGUCAGCUUGGCAAGGCUGAACAAGUUCACCCAGUUACUCAAUAAAACAUUCAUCUAGAUGUUGCUGUGAAAAAAUUUUGCAGAUGUGGUUAAAGUCCAUAAUUAGUUAUUUUAAAUUAGGGGGAUUAUCUCCAGUGGGCCUGACUUAAUCAGUUGGAAGAUCUUAAGAGGGCUUACGCUUUUCCUGGGGAGAGAGAAAGACUUCUGCCUGGGGACCACAUGCCUGUUGGGUUCCAGCCUGCCUGUGGACAUCCCUUCCUGAUGGCCUGCCCUAUAGACUUUAAGCUUACAUGGCCGGUUCCUACAAUUGUGUGAUCCAAUUGCUUGUGAUAACUUAAUCUCCAUCUCUCUCUUCCUUCCCAGCCCCCAACUCUCCCUCUCUGUCUCUCCCUCUUUCUGUCUCUCUCUGCCCUCCUUCUACACAAAUCCUACUGGUUCUGUUUCUCUGAUCGAGCCUGAACUGAUACACUGACUCUGUUGCUGUUGCCAAAUUAAUUAUUGUACUUGAAAUUUUCCCAAAGCCUUUGAGCAGAUACUUUUAUUUUAGGCAAAAUUAUACUCAGAGUUGCUGGUUUAACAAUGUGGAGUUGUGGAAAGCACCAGCCGUGGACGCUCCCAGCCAACCAAUUUACCAGCUGAAUGUAUGCUCGUGGGCAAGUCACCGAAAUCCCCUGGGUCUGUCUUUCCUGAUGGGCAGCACUGGCAUUGUGACUGAACUCUUCUCCAGAAGGUCCCUCCAGCCCGACAUUCCCUUGCUCAGAGCCUGUGAGAGGACAGGGGUGGGAAAAGAGAGGCAGGUUUGUGAUUUCAUCUGCUUAGUUCAAUGUAGUUCUUUUCUUCAAUGACCUCCUCCAUUCAUCACAUCAUUUUGGAUUUUGGCUUUUUGCUCAAGCGAAAAAAGAAAAAAGAACUCUUGAAAAGGUGAGCAUAGCAGGGACCAGCC